rnacentral:rRNA from 1 species
UACGUAGGGGGCAAGCGUUAUCCGGAUUUACUGGGUGUAAAGGGAGCGCAGACGGCAUAGCAAGUCUGAAGUGAAAGCCCGUGGCUCAACCGCGGAACUGCUUUGGAAACUGUUAAGCUGGAGUACUGGAGAGGCAAGCGGAAUUCCUAGUGUAGCGGUGAAAUGCGUAGAUAUUAGGAGGAACACCAGUGGCGAAGGCGGCUUGCUGGACAGAGACUGACGUUGAGGCUCGAAAGCGUGGGGAGCAAACAGG